rnacentral:rRNA from 1 species
CCUGAGAGGGUGACCGGCCACANUGGGACUGAGANACGGCCCAGACUCCUACGGGAGGCAGCAGUGGGGAAUAUUGCNCAAUGGGCGAAANNCUGANGCAGCGACGCCGCGUGAGGGAUGANGGCCUUCGGGUUGUAAACCUCUUUCAGCAGGGANGAAGCGNAAGUGACGGUACCUGCAGAAGAAGCACCGGCUAACUANGUGCCAGCAGCCGCGGUAAUACNUAGGGUGCAAGCGUUGUCCGGAAUUANUGGGCGUAAAGAGNUCGUAGGCGGUUUGUCNCGUCG